rnacentral:rRNA from 1 species
GAANUUCAGACCCGCUNUNAUGCUUCUACAUGGGUUAUUGAUUNUAUGGCUCAGCACUUGAGCCGCUCGCUUNACAGCCUAACACAUGCAAGUCGAGCGGAUGACGGGAGCUUGCUCCUUGAUUCAGCGGCGGACGGGUGAGUAAUGCCUAGGAAUCUGCCUGGUAGUGGGGGACAACGUUUCGAAAGGAACGCUAAUACCGCAUACGUCCUACGGGAGAAAGCAGGGUGACCUUCGGGCCUUGCGCUAUCAGAUGAGCCUAGGUCGGAUUAGCUAGUUGGUGGGGUAAUGGCUCACCAAGGCGACGAUCCGUAACUGGUCUGAGAGGAUGAUCAGUCACACUGGAACUGAGACACGGUCCAGACUCCUACGGGANGCAGCAGUGGGGAAUAUUGGACAAAUGGGGCGAAAAGGCCUUGAUCCAGCCAUUGCCGCGUGUGUGAAGAAGGUCUUCGGAUUGUAAAGCACUUUCAAGGUUGGGAGGAAGGGCAGUAAGCUAAUUNCCCUUUGGCCUUGGA